UAAUUCCCCAAAAAAAAGAAUUCCAUAUUAACCCAGAGCUAUAGACUCUGAUUAACCAGAGCAGAACCAGAGCUAUAGACUCCGGAGACUAUAGCUCUGAUAACGAAUCACGACAAUUUGUUUCUUUUCUUGACCGUUUGGUCGUUCGUUUAGUCAGGCGCAGUGAAGUAUGAGUGUGUACUAGCCAGUGACUCGAUUACUCAUCACUCUGAAAGAACAGCGCCAUCUCAACCAAAAGAUGGUGCGUUGGAGUAGGACACUAGGACAGCUUCGUCGAACCCUAUGGAAAUCUAACAUCAACCCACGUCAUUCGGGAAAUUAUUUCGAUCUUAAGCGGUUGAAAUGAUGGCAAAAUAGAUGAUAGAAAUCCUGGAAUCGGCCAUUUCAAGAAUUACCAGUCCACUAUAAUUAACAUUAACGGUUUAAUAUCAUAGUACAUUCCACCAGGAUAUGUAUUCAUUCAAAUUAUAUGGAUACAUGUUGGAUAAGUUAACCAUAUAGUUGCAAUUGAUGCCCUUUCAACCCAAAACGACAACUUAAAGACCACACUUCAUUGGACGCGGAGUCAUAAAUUGUUUUACAAUUUCA